rnacentral:tRNA from 1 species
GCUUUCGUGGUAUAACGGUUAGUACACUCGACGCGUAUUCGAGAGGUCCAGGUUCGAGUCCCGGCGAGGACA